GACGAACGCUGGCGGCGUGCUUAACACAUGCAAGUCGAGCGGUAAGGCCCUUUCGGGGUACACGAGCGGCGAACGGGUGAGUAACACGUGGGUGACCUGCCCUCAGCUCUGGGAUAAGCCUGGGAAACCGGGUCUAAUACUGGAUAUGACUCCAUGACGCAUGUUGUGGGGUGGAAAGCCUUGUGCGGCUGAGGAUGGGCCCGCGGCCUAUCAGCUUGUUGGUGGGGUGAUGGCCUACCAAGGCGACGAUGGGUAGCCGGCCUGAGAGGGCGACCGGCCACACUGGGACUGAGACACGGCCCAGACUCCUACGGGAGGCAGCAGUGGGGAAUCUUGCGCAAUGGGCGAAAGCCUGACGCAGCGACG
rnacentral:rRNA from 1 species